ensembl:lncRNA
AAACCUGGGCUUCCAUACCACCUCAGCAGUGAUGCAGCCUUAAAUUGAAUAUUUGCCAUUAUCAAACUUCAUAAUGAAUUCAAUACUGCUGCUUCAAUAAAGAAAAUAAAUCAGAACAGGUAAGUAUAGUCAUACUGUAAUAUAAUUAUAUUCUUAUCCAGUCAAAAAUACAACUUUUGGAUGAAAGGCACAAUACAACCAGACUUUACCUCAGUCUCAAAACAAACACAUACAGAAAGCAGACUUUUCUUAAAGAAAAUACACAAAUAAAUCAUAUUUUAACAUAAACAGGGGAUUUCAAAAUUGGAAUGCCUACAAAGCAAUAUGAAAUGUGAGAAAUUUUUAAAGCGGUAAUUCAUUAGGCUCAAUCAACUCCCAAUAUUGCUCAUUGCAAACAUGGAAAAUGGCACAGUGGAGUCAAAAUUGAUAAGAGGGCGAAACAUUAAAGGGUCUAUGAGGAAAGACUAUGAUCUGACAGUGUAGUGCAACUUGUCUCUGUUAACACAAUGCAAAUGCAAAUGCAAGCGUAGGAGACGGUAUGUCAUGGUUGCCAGCAUAUGGUAAUUUUAACUGCAUUGGUCCAAAAAUAAGGUAAAAAAAAAACUAACAAAUGUUUAUGAAGACAGGAACAUAAAAAAAUAAGAUCUUUAUUGUGGUUUCCCUUUUGAGCAAUCUUGGUCAAAACAUUGCUAAAAGAACAAAAUAAACCACACAAUGAUGACAAUAUUCUUUGGUAUUUUUAUUUUUGCAUACUUGUUUCAAAUCCAUUUUGUUCUCCUUUUUGUGUUUUCGUUUCAGGUUUGUUGAUUAAAUCAAGUCAUCCAACUACCAUCACUGGCAUUGAAUGCCACUUUUACAAGAAGCAUCAAUGUCUCACUAAAAAGGCUCAUUGCAACAGAUAAGACUUGAUCAAAUUUCACUUCCAUCACAGGCAUAAUUUGACCAUUCACACUUUCAAAUUCAGUUAAGACUUGACUUCCCGUAGCAAAGAAACAAGAUGGUUAAUCGAAUAUAGAGACUAAAAUAAAACACAAAUGGAUGAAUCUCA